CCUACGGGAGGCACCAGUGAGGAAUAUUGGUCAAUGGGCGGGAGCCUGAACCAGCCAAGUAGCGUGAAGGAUGACUGCCCUACGGGUUGUAAACUUCUUUUAUAAAGGAAUAAAGUGAGGCACGUGUGCCUUUUUGUAUGUACUUUAUGAAUAAGGAUCGGCUAACUCCGUGCCAGCAGCCGCGGUAAUACGGAGGAUCCGAGCGUUAUCCGGAUUUAUUGGGUUUAAAGGGUGCGUAGAUGGGUUGUUAAGUCAGUUGUGAAAGUUUGCGGCUCAACCGUAAAAUUGCAAUUGAAACUGGCAGCCUUGAGUACAGGUGAGGUAGGCGGAAUGCGUGGUGUAGCGGUGAAAUGCUUAGAUAUCACGAAGAACUCCGAUUGCGAAGGCAGCUUACUAAACUGCCACUGACAUUGAUGCUCGAAAGUGUGGGUAUCAAACAGGAUUAGAUACCCGGGUAGUC
rnacentral:rRNA from 1 species